rnacentral:miRNA from 1 species
GGGCGGUGGCACCCGCCGUCGGAGUA